ensembl:rRNA 5S_rRNA 5S ribosomal RNA
GUCCACAGACCCACCAACCCUGAACACAUCUGAUCUUGACUGAUCUUGGAAGCUAAGCAGGGUCAGGCCUGGUUAGUAUUUGGAUGGGAGACUGCUUGGGUAUACUAGGUGCUAUAGGCU